ensembl:lncRNA
GUGAGUCUCGUCAGAGUUCUCACCCGUGCACGUUAAUGUUAUUACAUUCUAACUGUUUGAGUGUCUUUAUUCAGCCUGAAGAAUGUCUUAUUAAAAAUAAACUCUUGACAUUUAAUUGGUCCUCCGAGCCGGAUGUAGGACAUCGAAUUAUAACUAAUUUUAUGCUCCAACGGAGUGACCUCGUCGUUUCCUGUCAUCGUGGAGAGCCCGCGCUGAAGUCUGUCGACAGCCUCUUUCCUAUGAAGGAGAAAAAGACCAACUACGUGAAUUCGGGGUUGGCCAGCGUUCUUAGUAAGAGGUCCACGAUCCUGGGGAACGAGGAGGAAUCUCUGACCGGCACUUAUAUCAUCAUAACCAGUUUGCCAUUUGGGAUUUUCCCUUAACAUUUCUUGGUCCUUCGAGCCGGAUGGGACGGGCUAUUUAAAGCAGCUCCCAUAAGAGGCACCUCACCAGGUCCCGUCGGUGCGAGAAGCCCACGUUGAAGUCUGUCGACAGCUCACGCACUAGGUGCGUGAUAAAGCCCAAGGACGUGAAUUCGGGUCUUGGCCAACGUUUUACAAGCGGUCCGCACCGUCGGGGGCUAAUUGGGUGCAUCUGAAGAAACCACCAUUAAGGCUGCUUUGCCGGUCCUGAAAGCCAAAGCUGACCUGGACUCCUGCUCUCCCCUCUACCAUCUCUGACCCUGACCAAAUGCUGCAGCAGCUGGACCCAUAACAACAAUCUAAAAAUGUCAACAGUGCUACAGGAAAGCGAUCUCAUGCAGCAGAGACGGGGAGCGUUAAAUCCAAGGCUCGUUUCACUACACGGAGGAGAUUUCCAGACAGCUUCAGCUGACAGAGCUGUGACGAGACGCCCAUUAAGCCCGAAUGAAAAGUAAGGCCGAGCAAAAGAAUGCUGACCUUGAUAACUCUGCAUUAACACUGUACAGGACAGUGAUGGACCAACACGGAUGAUCAGGCAGCAGAAGAAAGGGCGUGCCAGAGACAGGAGAAGCAACUGAGGUCAAAAGGCACCUCAGAAUGGACAAAACACAGAAGAAGAUGCAGGUUUCACCUGCGGUGAGCAUGGACACUGGAGAAAGGACUGCCCCAAUUGGGGCCAGGACCAGGACAGACUGAACUUUGAGCAGCAGCAGCAAUGGUCGCAACCGGACUGAAAAGGAGGAGGGCAGGACCCCAGGGCACGCUUCAGGCCGUGGUUUACCCAAAACACCAGAACAGGAAAGUGAUAAAUACACCAACAUACACAUCUACACACACACCAGACAAUGUACACUCAUCAAACAUGACUGAUGCCCUGAACGCCUUGAGACAGAUCCAGCAGGCCCAAACUCAGGACUAUGUAAAUAAUACAAGUGACUGCUAAAAAGACUACUACUGCCUUUUCACUGUGCAAUACUUUUUGUUAAAAACCAACGGUGCAAUAGACUUCAAUACUUGAAAUACUUGAAAUACUUGCAAUUCCUUUGUGUUCUUAUUCUUAUUUAUUCUAUUUAUCCCUUUUUGUAUUUUCACUUUUAUUUUGUGUUUUGUAACAUGUAUCCUGCCAUGUCUAAAACUCAUGAUUAACCGUAUAGUUGUUUCCACUGUUGCUGCAUACAUAGCCGUGACAAAUGAUGAUGAUGAUGACUCUGACCUGUUGGAACAUGAAAACUUUGUGUGAUUAAUGAUGGUGUGAUAGAAACUGUACAACAAGAUGUUACAUACUGAUAUCUCACUUGAAAGUUAUACUGACAACAGGAGGGAAUGUCAAUGGAAAAUUGUACUUAGUAGUCAGUAUAAGCUUGCAUAUGAUAGAAUACUGUAUGUUGACCUUUUGAUGACUUAGACUGUUGUCCACUACAAGACUGUUUUAUAAAUUCUUUCUUACAGCGAUAAUAGCUGAACAAGCAGGAAGAGGAGAGCUGGACACUUUUAUCUGCGCUCUCUAACAAGAAGAAGGGCUGCGUCCUUCUGAAUCUCACAACACACACACAUACACCUGAACCACUCUUAUCUUCACUCCCUACGUACUAACAUUCCGGAACGGAACGUUCCAGUAAGAUAGCCACAUACUGUUGUAUAGUCAUUUUUCUCAGAAGAGCGAAAAUACGCCGCCCUGUUGUGUGGGCACCAGUGACUAUAAAUGCACGAAUAAAGAAGUACACUGUGUGACUCUCUUCUGAGACGCUCACCCAUGUACA